GAUGAACGCUGGCGGCGUGCUUAACACAUGCAAGUCGAACGAUGAGGCCCAGCUUUCUGGGUGGAUUAGUGGCGAACGGGUGAGUAACACGCGAGUAACCUGCCCUUAACUCUGGGAUAAGCCUGGGAAACUGGGUGUAAUACCGGAUAGGAGCGCCUACCGCAUGGUGGGUGUUGGAAAGAUUUAUCGGUUUUGGAUGGACUCGCGGCCUAUCAGCUUGUUGGUGAGGUAAUGGCUCACCAAGGCGACGACGGGUAGCCGGCCUGAGAGGGUGACCGGCCACACUGGGACUGAGACACGGCCCAGACUCCUACGGGAGGCAGCAGUGGGGAAUAUUGCACAAUGGGCGAAAGCCUGAUGCAGCGACGCCGCGUGAGGGAUGACGGCCUUCGGGUUGUAAACCUCUUUCAGUAGGGAAGAAGCGGAAGUGACGGUACCUGCAGAAGAAGCACCGGCUAACUACGUG
rnacentral:rRNA from 1 species